UUGUGCUAGGUGGGGAGGUAGCGGUUCCCUCUGCCUGCAAUCCGCUAUAGCAGGGCUGAAAACUUGCCUGAGGGGAUCUACGCUUCCAGGACUGCCUGUCGCAAGUGGUGUUGAAGAUCGGGCUCUGCGCAAUGGUAACUUAUGAACCCCGUCAGGUCCGGAAGGAAGCAGCGGUAAGUAAGCACUACCAUGUGCCGCAGAUUCACCUGGUUGGAGCUAACUGCGGCAGUAACGCUGUGAAGGGUAGCCUCAAGGGUAAGUGCACAA
rnacentral:SRP_RNA from 2 species